CGUACACUCCUGCGGGAGGCAGCAGUGGGGAAUAUUGGACAAUGGGCGCAAGCCUGAUCCAGCCAUGCCGCGUGAGUGAUGAAGGCCCUAGGGUUGUAAAGCUCUUUCACCGGUGAAGAUAAUGACGGUAACCGGAGAAGAAGCCCCGGCUAACUUCGUGCCAGCAGCCGCGGUAAUACGAAGGGGGCUAGCGUUGUUCGGAUUUACUGGGCGUAAAGCGCACGUAGGCGGACUAUUAAGUCAGGGGUGAAAUCCCGGGGCUCAACCCCGGAACUGCCUUUGAUACUGGUAGUCUUGAGUUCGAGAGAGGUGAGUGGAAUUCCGAGUGUAGAGGUGAAAUUCGUAGAUAUUCGGAGGAACACCAGUGGCGAAGGCGGCUCACUGGCUCGAUACUGACGCUGAGGUACGAAAGCGUGGGGAGCAAACAGGAUUAGAAACCCUGGUAGUCCCAUGAU
rnacentral:rRNA from 1 species